UGCCCAACUUAAUCCAUUUUAGCAUCACAGCACCCCUUAAAUCGACGAGCAAUUGCAUAGUUUUAGCACGUUGCUAUUCUUAUAAUAUUCACCUUAAUGGUUAAUUUGCUAGCCGUCUCACAAAGAUUUAUCUUCAUAGAACAGAUCUUAAGUGUUUGCCUGAUGUCCAGCCGCAGCAACUCUCUUUAAGCCCCCCCUCCAAUCCAGAUGCAGCCCCCCCAAUAUAUGACAGAGUGGGAGAGCAAACCAGGACCAAGCUGGCAGAUGCAACACUUACUUCUCGCAUAUCUAUUCAGAAGUUUUGUUGCGUCUCUCCCAGUUUAGUAAUUUCAAGCGCGGUCUUGUGUUGGAGACUGGUUUCGGAGGGUUAAUGCAUCUAAAAAUAGCUCACAAGCUUAACUUGAUAUUCAGUGCAUCCUUGAUGGUCAGAGUAAAUCCAGAUGAAUGCAUUUUAGCAUUGGACCAAACAAGGAAAAUACCAAUUACAGACCAGGAAGUAAACGAUGCAUUUGGUCUGCCACAAGGAAGCAGGACCAUUCCUCCAGGCCACUCAGAUUUAUCUGUAGUUUGUAUAGAGUUCAGCAGGUUGGCAUCAUCCAUGAGUACCGAAGGCGUACAUAGUUUGAAGGCUGCUGAAUUUAUCUUAUCUAAGGCAGUAGAUGAGAAUUCAAGCAAAGUGGAGUGUGAAUGCUUCAAGAUAGCUUUUGUAAUUUUCUCGUUUGGUCAUGUUCUGAACCCGUGCGCCAAGCACGACUACACUAGUGUUGAUUACUGGGCAGCACUGGUUAUGCCGUCGGAGAUAAAUUACUACGACUGGUGUAGGCUUGUCAAAUACAGUUUGAUGAAAGGGGUUAGGAAAAUGAAGAUUGACAUUCACAAUGGGAACACAACAAUCCACAUUAUUGGUUGUCACCUUCUCCUCCAGGUAUAUUGCACAACAAGAUAAAAAUUGUGUUACUAUUGCAAGGGAAUAUUAUACGUGACCAGAUCAUCAGCAAAAAGGCAACAAGCUAUGAAUGCAUGACCCUUAUUCUUCGCCGCUUAGCACAAAUCGAGCAGAAAAAUUCAACAAAUGGAGAUGGUGCAAUUUGGCGAAAGUUCAUGGAACCAGACUUUACGGUACAUCCCUAUUUUUUGUAAUUUUUUGCGCAUUCUCCGCUGAUCUAAUGUACGACAAGUUUUGAUAUGAAUACCCAUCUUUGGAGACACUUGUCAUCUGCAACAUAGACCCAUUGUUUGCCGUUUCAGUCCAAACCGAACUCUUAAUGGAGAAACACAUCGACCAAUGCUGAAUGAUAUUUUGAAGAAAAGGAUUGUCGUUCUCGACCCCCAAGCAGGCCCAUUUGGAUUUAUGACCGAUCGAGUCAAAUUCCAUGAACAAGUCAAUCAUGCCAUCUACUGGAUGGAGAAGAGAGUUCCCUACAUUGAUGAUUGAAAAAAUCCCAAGUGAGCAGUUCGGCAUCUAUUCGUUGUUCAUGGCAAGGCACUACGACGGCGAGUCACUACGGUCCCCGUCCACGAAGGAAAUCGGUACCAAACGAAAUCCAAACACGAUGAAACUUUAUGAUGAUUUUCUAUAGACCAAAAGGGACCCUAGAACAUUCAGGAGGAGGCCAAAAGAUCUAUGGGAGAGCCACCUGAAACAUUUUUUUUUGUCGCCGCAAGCUUCUGUUCUUUCGCGAUCUCAUCUAGAGGCCUUUUCCGGUACUCUGUUGGAGGGGAAAUCGAUCACGAAGGGAUUCUACAUUCAUCCUUGUUGCCUUCCGAUGAUGCGUGAGUAGUUCACCACAUACCUACGGGUCCAUAGCUAGUACCUAGAUGACUUCUCUCUCUUUGAUUUUCAAUAUGAUGUUCUCCUCGAUCUCCUUGGAGUUCUAUCCAAUGUAAUUCUCUUUUGUGGUGUGUUUGUUGCGAUCCUAUGAAUCAUGGAUUUAUCAGAUUAUUCAUUAAAGU